GUCUCUGUAGCGCAAUGAGCAUCGCGUUGGACUUUUAAUCCAAAAGUCGUGAGUACGAAUCCCACCUGGGAUG